UCUGAAGACCCAAGCCUCCCCUGUGUUUACGGGUGACGAUGUCACCUUGUGUUAUCAGCAUCAGAGCGGCAAACACAAACAAACCAGCUUCUUUAAAAACGGAGCAUUGAUUGACUCUAACAGUUCGUCCGGUUCAGACCGAGUCGUAAAGAUGACUCUUAAGAAUGUGACACGGGAAGAUGAAGGCUUCUACAGGUGUGCGUCAGACAGCUGCAGAGUCCAGAGAGCUGGUUAUCAGUGAGACCGGACAGAGGUUCCUGGAAAUGGAUCAUUGCUUCAUGUGGGGUUCUACUUCUGAUCGUCAUUCCUUUGACUGUUUGGCUCGUUUGUCACUACAGGUACCAGAAGUUCUGCACUUGGAGCUUCUGGCCAGUUUCCAAACAGGAAGUUCCAGCAGAU